rnacentral:rRNA from 1 species
UAGGGAAUAUUGGUCAAUGGGCGCAAGCCUGAACCAGCCAUGCCGCGUGGGGGAUGAAGGCCUUCGGGUCGUAAACCCCUUUUCUGAGGGAAGAACAACCGGGAUUAAUACCCCCGGCCUGACGGUACCUCAGGAAUAAGCAACGGCCAACUCCGUGCCAGCAGCCGCGGUAAUACGGAGGUUGCAAGCGUUGUUCGGAAUUACUGGGCGUAAAGGGAGCGCAGGCGGUUGGGUAAGUCUGAAGUGAAAGUCCGAGGCUUAACCUCGGAAGGGCUUUGGAUACUGCCCGGCUUGAGUACGUGAGAGGAGAGCGGAAUUCCAGGUGUAGCGGUGAAAUGCGUAGAUAUCUGGAGGAACACCGGUGGCGAAAGCGGCUCUCUGGCACGAAACUGACGCUGAGGCUCGAAAGCGUGGGGAGCAAACG